rnacentral:misc_RNA from 1 species
GAUGAAGAACGUAGCGAAAUGCGAUAAGUAAUGUGAAUUGCAGAAUUCAGUGAAUCAUCGAAUCUUUGAACGCACAUUGCGCCCGCCAGUAUUCUGGCGGGCAUGCCUGUUCGAGCGUCAUUUCAACCAUCAAGCCCCCCGGCUUGUGUUGGGGACCUGCGGCUGCCGCAGGCCCUGAAAAGCAGUGGCGGGCUCGCUGUCACACCGAGCGUAGUAGAUCUCAUCUCGCUCAGGGCGUGCUGCGGGUUCCGGCCGUUAAACCACCUUCAUAACCCAAGGUUGACCUCGGAUCAGGUAGGAAGACCCGCUGAACUUAAGCAUAUCAAUAACGGAGGA